rnacentral:rRNA from 1 species
CCCACUUCACGAUUUUAUACUUGCUGUGGCUGCUCAUGAUUUUUUAAUUGCUGGAGCCUCUCAAUGAAUUCCCACCCAAAUUAAAAAUUUUAAUUUUUUUAAUUUGUGCAGAAACAAUUAUUAAUAUUAAGGACAAGAAGACCCUAUGAAUUUAUUAAAUUUCAUUCAAUAUGUAAUUACUAUUGAAGAAAUUUUGGCUGGGGCGGCUAAAAAAUAUUUUAAACUUUUUAAAAAUAAAAUGAUCCAUUAUUAAUGAUUAUAUGUUAAAUACUCUAGGGAUAACAGCGUUAUAUUUUUUGAUAGACCAUAUUGACAAAAAAGUUUGCGACCUCGAUGUUGGAUUAGGAUACUUUUUUAAUGCAAAUAUUAAAAAAAGAAGUUUGUUCAACUUUCAAUUUCCU